GUACGUAGGGGCGUAGCGUUGUCCGGAAUCAUUGGGCGUAAAGCGCGUGUAGGCGGCCCGGUAAGUCCGCUGUGAAAGUCCAGGGCUCAACCCUGGGAUGCCGGUGGAUACUGUCGGGCUCGAGUCCGGAAGAGGCGAGUGGAAUUCCUGGUGUAGCGGUGAAAUGCGCAGAUAUCAGGAGGAACACCAAUGGCGAAGGCGGCUCACUGGUCCGGUACUGACGCUGAGGUGCGAAAGCGUGGGGAGCAAGCAGG
rnacentral:rRNA from 1 species